GACGAACGCUGGCGGCGUGCCUAAUACAUGCAAGUAGAACGCUGAAGGAGGAGCUUGCUUCUCUGGAUGAGUUGCGAACGGGUGAGUAACGCGUAGGUAACCUGCCUGGUAGCGGGGGAUAACUAUUGGAAACGAUAGCUAAUACCGCAUAAGAGUAGAUGUCGCAUGACAUUUGCUUAAAAGGUGCAAUUGCAUCACUACCAGAUGGACCUGCGUUGUAUUAGCUAGUUGGUGAGGUAACGGCUUACCAAGGCAACGAUACAUAGCCGACCUGAGAGGGUGAUCGGCCACACUGGGACUGAGACACGGCCCAGACUCCUACGGGAGGCAGCAGUAGGGAAUCUUCGGCAAUGGACGGAAGUCUGACCGAGCAACGCCGCGUGAGUGAAGAAGGUUUUCGGAUCGUAAAGCUCUGUUGUAAGAGAAGAACGAGUGUGAGAGUGGAAAGUUCACACUGUGACGGUAUCUUACCAGAAAGGGACGGCUAACUACGUG
rnacentral:rRNA from 1 species